AGAAUCAACGCUGGCGGCGUGCCUAACACAUGCAAGUCGCACGAGAAAGUGGAGCAAUCCACGAGUAAAGUGGCGCACGGGUGAGUAACACGUGAAUAAUCUACCUCCGAGUGGGGAAUAAACUGAGAGAAAUCUUAGCUAAUACCGCAUAAUACCCACGGGUCAAAGCAGCAAUGCGCUUGGAGAGGAGUUCGCGGCCGAUUAGCUAGUUGGCGGGGUAAUGGCCCACCAAGGCGAUGAUCGGUA
rnacentral:rRNA from 1 species